rnacentral:rRNA from 1 species
UACGGGGGGGGCAAGCGUUGUUCGGAAUUACUGGGCGUAAAGGGCUCGUAGGUGGCCAACUAAGUCAGACGUGAAAUCCCUCAGCUUAACUGGGGAACUGCGUCUGAUACUGGAUGGCUUGGAUCCGGGAGAGGGAUGCGGAAUUCCAGGUGUAGCGGUGAAAUGCGUAGAUAUCUGGAGGAACACCGGUGGCGAAGGCGACAUCCUGGACCGGUAUUGACGCUGAGGCGCGAAAGCCAGGGGAGCAAACGGG